rnacentral:lncRNA from 10 species
UGAUUUGCCCACCUCUGCCUCCCAAAGUACUGGGAUUACAGGCGUGAGCCACCGCACUUGGCUAUGCCCAGCCAUUUCUAUUAUUUUCUUUUUCUUUCUUUCCUUUUUUUUUUUUGAGACGGAGUUUUGCUAUUGUUGCUCAGGCUGGAGUGCAAUGGCGCAAUCUCGGCUCACUGCAACCUCUGCCUCCUGGGUUCAAGUGAUUCUCCUGCCUCAGCCUCCCGAGUAGCUGGGAUUACAGAUACCCACCACCAUGCCCAGCUAAUUUUUUUGUAUUUUUAGUAGAGAUGGGGUUUCACCAUGUUGCCAUGUUGGCCAGGCUGGUCUUGAACUCCUGACCUCGGGUGAUCUGCCCGCCUUGGCUUCCCAAAGUGCUGGGAUUACAGGCACGAGCCACCACGCAUGGCCCAUUUCUAUUAUUUUCUAUAUAGUAAGAAAUAGUUCUUGUUAUUUUUGCCUCAUGACAAAGGCUAUGAUGGUAGAGAUAGAAAAAUAGAAAGCUGGGCAUUAUGUAAUACAUUAUUUUAUUGUACUUUGUGUGUGUGUGUGUGUUUUUUUUUUUUGUUUUUUGUUUUUUUUUGAGACAGCCUCUAGCUCUGUCACCCAGGCUGGGGUGCAAUGGCGUGAUCUUAGGUCACUGCAACUUCCACCUCCUGGGUUCAAGCGAUUCUCCUGCCUCAGCCUCCAGAGUAGCUGGGAUUACAGGUGCGCGCCACCACACCUAGCUAAUUUUUUUUUGUAUUUUUAGUAGAAAUGGGAUUUCACCAUGUUGGCCAGGCUGGUCUCAAACUCCUGACCUCAAGUGAUCUGCCCGCCUCAGCCUGUCAAAGUCUGGAAUUACAGGCGAGAGCCACCGCGGCCAGUCGAUUUUAUUUUAUUUUCUGAGUCAGGGUCUUGCUCUGUCAUCCAGGCUGGAGUUCAGUGAUGUGAUCACAGCUCACUGCAGCCUCAACCUUCUGGUCUCAAGCGAUUAUCUCACCUCAGGCUCCCUAUUAGCUGGGAAUACAGGCACGUGCCACCAUGCCCAGCUAAUUUUUGUAUUUUUUUGUAAAGACGGGGUUUUGCCAUGUUGCCCAGGCUGGUCUGGAACUCCUGGGUUCAAACAAUCUGCCCACCUCAGCCUCCCAAACUGCUGGAAUUACAGGUGUGAGCCACCACACCUGGCCUAUGUAAUAAAUUUGAUCAUGACAUAAGUUGCUGGUUUUUCUGCGUGAUUUGUCAAUUUUUAAAAAUUGCACAAGUGAACCAGGCACAGUGGUUCACAUCUGUAAUCCCUAAACUUUGGGGGGUUGAGGCAGGAGGAUCAUUUGAGCCCAGGAGUUCCAGACCAGCCUGGGCAACAUAAGGAAACCCUGUCUCUAUUUAAAAAAAAAAAACAUUGCACAAGCAAUACACAAAAUUAUUAUCUUAAACUUCUAUAGACCCAGAAGACUAUAAAGAAGUGAAAGCUGGCUAAAAAGCUUUUUUUUUUUAAAUUUAAUAAAUCAUGAACAGGGUGUUGAAUUUUACAAAAUACUAUUUUCAUAUCUCCUGAAAUAAUCAUAAGCAUUUUCUUUGUUAAUUUUUCAAUACAAUAAAUUACAUAGAUAAAUUUCUUGGCUGGGUGCGGUGGCUCACGUCUGUAAUUCCAGCACUUUGGGAGGCCAAGGCAGGCGGAUCACUUGAGGUCAAGAGUCCAAGACCAGCCUGGCAAACAUGGUGAAACCCUGUCUCUAUUAAAAAUACAAAAAUUAGCCUGGCAUGGUGGUGCAUGCCUGUAAUUCCAGCUACUUGGGAGGCUGAGGCAGGAGAAUCACUUGAACUUUGGAGGCAGAGGUUGCAGUGAGCCAAGAUGGCGCUACUGCACUCCAGCCUGGGCUACAGAGUGAGACUCCGUCUCAAAAAAAAAAAAGAAAGCAAAAAGAAAAAAUUCCUAUAUGUAGUCAAUCUUGUUUACCUGGAAUAAACCCUACAGGUUGUGAUAUAUUAUUCUUUUAAUAUUAUGUUGUUUGUUAAUAUUAGGUUUGGUUUAUUAAUAUUAUAACUUUGGCAUACAUGUUCAUAAGUAAUAGUGACCAAUAAUUCCCUUUCUUUUCCUUCCUUUCUUCCUUCUUUCCUUCUGUGUUUCCCUCACUCUCUCCCUUCUUUCCUUCCUUCCUCUCUCUUCCUUGGUGCUGUACAGCCUUGCCCAGUUUUUUUUGUUUUGUUUUGUUUUGUUUUUUGAGAUGGAGUCUCCCUCUGUAACCCAGGCUGGAGUGCAGUGGCACGAUCUCGGCUCACUGCAAGCUCUGCCUCCCAGGUUCAUGCCAUUCUCCUGCCUCAGCCUCCCGAGUAGCUGGGACUACAGGCGCCCGCCACCACGCCCAGCUAAUUUUUUUGUAUUUUUAGUAGAGACGGGGUUUCACCGUGUUAGCCAGGAUGGUCUUGAUCCCCUGACCUCGUGAUCCACCUGUUUUGGCCUCCCAAAGUGCUGGGAUUACAGGCGUGAGCCACUGCACCCGGCAGCCUUGCCCAGUUUUAAUAACAGUUAUAAUGGUAAAGAAAGAAAGAAGAGUUUAAAAGAUUUAUAUCUUUUCCUGUUUUCUGAACUCAUUAUUUUAAAAUAUUCAAAAUGAAAACGUACAUUUGGAUUGAUUUCAAAUCCAACUGAAUACAAGAAAUAUUGACAUUAAUUUGUCAGUUAUAGAAAGGAAGAGCUAUUAGAAUGUUUAAAUAUAAUUUCAAUAGUAAGCUUUGGAAUGGCUUACAUUUUUCUCUUAUUUCCUACUUGAGAUUAUAAUGUCUCCUUUUUUCUGUUUUUUUUUUUUUUUUUUUUUUUUUUUGAGAUAGAGUCUUGCUCUGUGGCCCAGGCUGGAGUGCAGUGGCACAAUCUCAGCUCACUGCAACCUCUGCUUCCCUGUUUCAAGCAUUUCUCCUGCCUCAGCCUCUCGAGUAGCUGGGACUACAGAUGUGGGCCACCACGCCCAGCUAAUUUUUGUAUUUUUAGUAGAGAUGGGGUUUCACCCGGGUUCAAGUGAUCUCACCAUGUUGCCAGGUUGGUCUCCAACUCCUGGGCCCAAGCGAUCCUCCCACCUCGGCAUCCCAAAGUGCUGGGAUUACAGGCAUAAGCCACCAUGCUGAGCCCUGCGUGAGCCAUUUCUUUCUUUCUUUCUCUUUUUUUUUUUUUUUUUUUUUUUGAGACGGAGUUGCGCUCUGUCACCCAGGCUGGAGUGCAGUGACACAACCUCGGCUCACUGCAACCUCCGCCUCCUGGGUUCAAGCAAUUCUCCUGCCUCAGCCUCCAGAGUAGCUGGGAUUACAGGCACACGCCACCACGCCACCAUUCCUGGCUAAUUUUUUCUGUUUUUUUUUUUUUCAGUAGAGAUGGGGUUUCACCAUGCUGGCCAGGCUCUGGUCUCGAACUCCUGACCUCAUGAUCCGCCAACCUCAGCCUCCCAAAGUGCUGGGAUUACAGGCGUGAGCUACCGUGCCCGGCCGAGCCAUUUCAAUAAUAAAACCUCAUAUAAAAAGUUGCAUUUACAGGACCAAAGUCAAGUUUUUAAAGAAAAAAUUUUAAAAUAUUUUAUGUAUUUAGAUGUUUUAAUCAAAGAUAAAACUUCAUAUUUUCUCUAUGAAAUAUAUUUCAUUUCUUUCAUCAUAAAUAUGUAAUAUAUGGAAAUUGAAUGAGUUUUUCACCAAGAACCACAUAGAGAGUCCCAAACCCCCUCCAGCUUUCCCUUUGUGCAAUUCCAAGCAUGUUCCAUGGCAAUAUAUAAAGUUGGGAAUCACUGAGCGGUCUGGUUAAAAACUUGUGGAAUACCACACAGCUAGAAAAAAAGAAUAAAGUUGACAUCAGUUGGUAAUUGUUGAAACUGCCUGGUGAGUACAUGGGGAUUCAUGUGUGAAUAUGGAAACUUCUACAAGGCUGGGCUAGGUGGCUCAAGCCUGUAAUCCCAGCACUUUGGGAGGCCAAGGUGGAUGGAUCACCUGAGGUCGGGUAAACACAAAAAUUAGCUGGGCGUGGUGUUGUGCGCCUGUAGUCACAGCUACUUGGGAGGCUGAGAUAGGAGAAUUGCUUGUACCCAGAAGGUGGAGAUUGCAAUUCUCGAACCGGGAAGGUGGAGGUUGCAGUGAGCCGAGAUCAUGCCACUGCACUUUCGGCUUGGGCGACAGAAGGAGACUCUGUCUCAAAGAAAAAAAAAAACCUCUACAAGAUACAGUAUGCAGGUGGAAAAAGCAAGGGAAAGUGUGUUUAGUAUGUUACUAUUUGUGUAAAAAAUUAGUGGAGGAUCAAAAUAUAUAUCUGUGCCAAUAUGUGAAAAAAUGUUUCUGGGCUGGGCACAGUGGCUCACGCCUGUAAUCCCAGCACUUUGGGAGGCCGGGGCCAAGUGAUGGCUUGAGACCAGGAGUUCGAGACCAGCCUGGGCAACAUGGCAAAACCCUGUCUCUGCAAAAAUACAAAAAAAUUAGCCGGGUAUGGUGGCGUGCUCCUGUAGUCACAGUGGGAGGCUGAGGUGGGAGGAUCACCUGAGCCCAGGAAGUCGAGGCUGCAGUGAGCUAUGAUCAGGCCACUGCACUCCAGCCUGGGCAACAGAGUGAGACCCUCUCUCAAAAAAUAAAAAAUAAAUAAAUAAAUAAAUAAAAGAGCGAGUGAAGACAUUUCUGGAAGCACAUGGAGAAUGUGAGGAAGGGACUUGAACGGCUAUGGCUAGGGGCAGGAGCUGAGGACACAUCGUGGGGGAAGGCGUGAGUGGGAGGCUGGAGGCUUUGGUCUUGAACCAAACAAGAUGGCGAUUCUAAGCUCCAGAGAGCCCAUACAAGCUCUGAAUCCAGUACCUAAGGGUUGGAAGUGUAGCUGUUUUUCUGGUGAGUAGGGUAGAGGAUGGAGGACAUUGGGGAAAGUGGCCCCCCGGCGAGAGAGGUCGUGUGCACUGAGCGGGAGCAGCUUGAGCUGGGGCUGGCUCUCAGGUCGCAUCCUGUGGCCACCAGGGGGCAGUGAAGCCCACUCCGAAAAGCGGGCGGGGCGGGGCGGGGCGGGGCGCCUGGGGCAUGUCCCACCUCCAGGCCUGCCCUCCAGCUGGAGCUCCUGACCGCUUUUCCCAGACCCCUCCUGGACCGCUGGACGCGGCCACGCGGGACUCCGAGAGUGCAGCACCUCCUCUCUUCUCCUGGAGAGCCCGGGGGAAUGCCGAGUCCAUCCCCGCGGUCACCCUCAACAUCCAGUCCUCCUCCACUGCUUCUAGGUUAUCUCAUUCAAUUGCCCAUCACACCCAUUUUGUAGAGGGGAAAGCUGGGGCACAGAGAGAGUAGGUAACUCACUCACUGGAAGCCACGGCUCGAGAAAUGACGACCCGGGACACAAAUCUGGCUGUCCAUCCUCAAAACCGGAGCAUUCAUGAAACCAUGGCUUCCUCACUGAUCUCCUUGUUUCCACUCUGCUUCCCCUCCGGAACCUUCUCCACCCAUCAGCCAGAGUUUUGGGGGCUCUCGGGCUGUAUCACUCCCUAACUUACCACCUUUCUCUGGCUGUCACUGCCCUCAGGAUCAAGUUCAGUCCUCUCACCCCACCCUCUGUCAUCAUCUUAAACCCAGCAGCGCCCUCUCUCUUAGCUCUGGACACACCAGCUUUUCAGCCUGAAGACAAUGCCUGCUCAUCUGGUGCAUUUACUGCUUCUUCCCCAGGCCCACUCUCCUGCCUCCCCACUUAAUUUUAAGUUAACCGUGAUGCACUCUUCAGGCCCUGGCUCUCAUGUCAAUUCCUCCAGGGAGCCCUCCCUGACUCCUGAUUCCCAGACGAGCUCAGAUCGCACUUACUAUGAGUCUCUUGGGUUGCACUGGCUUCAAACAUGCACUUCAUUUUUGUAUCUAUAAUGGCAUCACUAUUCUAAAAAUCUGUCAUCCUUGAGUCUCUCUGAAGCUAUCUCUACUCCAUCUGAAAUCCUGUGGGAUGUGCCUUAAAAAUCUGAAGUCUGACCCCUUCUUACCUCCUUCUCUACUAAGUCCUUCAUGUCUUGGUAGAAGACCAAACCGCUUCCUCAUGGUCGUUGCUUUUUCCUCCUUUGCCCUUACUGGGGCUUAGAAAACAAUACCCCAAAGUAUGGCACUUUGGCAUACCGAAUACUUUGAACUAAAGGAGGCUGAAAGGCCUCAGAAACAAGAUCUCUGACUUUCUCCUGCCUUGCUGUCUCCCAUUUCUCUUUCUCCCCUGAAGCAAGUAACAGAAACUAGCAUUCAUUCCUCUUCCCCAAGGUGGGUCAUAGAAACUAGAACUCCUCUCCCCAAAGCAACUCAUAAAACACAGAAAUAUAUAUAUAUAUAUACACACACACAUAUAUAUACAUAUAUAUACACAUAUAUACAUAUAUAUACACAUAUAUAUACACAUAUAUAUACACACACAUACACACACACACACACACACACACAUAUAUAUAUAUAUACACACACACACA